ACUCGUUAAGGCUGAGCUGUGAUGGGGAGAAGACAUUGUGUCUUCGAGUCGUUGAUUUCACACUGCCGAGAAAAGCCUCUAGAUAGAAAAUAGGUGCCCGUACCGCAAACCGACACAGGUAGUCAAGAUGAGAAUUCUAAGGUGAGCGAGCGAACUCUCGUUAAGGAACUCGGCAAAAUGACCCCGUAACUUCGGGAGAAGGGGUGCUCUUUAGGGUUAACGCCCAGAAGAGCCGCAGUGAAUAGGCCCAAGCGACUGUUUAUCAAAAACACAGGUCUCUGCUAAACCGUAAGGUGAUGUAUAGGGGCUGACGCCUGCCCGGUGCUGGAAGGUUAAGAGGAGUGGUUAGCUUCUGCGAAGCUACGAAUCGAAGCCCCAGUAAACGGCGGCCGUAACUAUAACGGUCCUAAGGUAGCGAAAUUCCUUGUCGGGUAAGUUCCGACCCGCACGAAAGGCGUAACGAUUUGGGCACUGUCUCAACGAGAGACUCGGUGAAAUCAUAGUACCUGUGAAGAUGCAGGUUACCCGCGACAGGACGGAAAGACCCCGUGGAGCUUUACUGUAGCCUGAUAUUGAAAUUCGGCACAGCUUGUACAGGAUAGGUA
rnacentral:rRNA from 1 species